UUGAAAGAAUCGAGUACGUAGUUAUAGUACAAAGUACAAAAAAUAAAGUGUAUACCUAGACUGAAAAAAAAUGUAUCGUUCAUUAUUAUUGCAUUUUUCUGAUCUUAAUUUUAUGAAUAAAUAUCAAUAAUAAUCUAGAAUAUAGAGUUAUCAAAAUUUAUAAAAUAUGUACCUAUGUCUAGAUUUUUGUCUAGUCUAGUUUCAGUCUAAACCCCUUAAAUACGUGCCGGUAUGGAGCGAAACGUCGUUGGGCCAUGGUCACUGUCGGCGAGUGGUCAGUCCAAUAUUACAUUUAUCCAAUCAGAACGUAAGAACAGUGAUGUUGGAAUAAUUAAUAGAGGAUAUACAUACACUUGCCCGGAGACGCGUAAAAAUUAAUGUAAAUUGCGCAUUAAUAUUAAUGCCUAAAACUCGUAUGGGCCUGUCACGGGUUGCCAGAAAAAAAAAAAACCGAUUCGACGCCAUUCGACUCAUACGCCCGACUUUUUUCACGGGACGCAACACUAACGACAUUCCAUGAAGGCGAUCCAGUUUUACACAUUUUUUAAUGGCAUAUUUAUUAGGAAGCAAAAUGCCAAGCGGGUGGCACCCUCUAGAUCUACGACUGGCUAUAAUGUAGUUCCACUAUUUUCUCGAUGUCGAAAUUAAAGUCGAAUAACGGCAUCCGGCUUAAUAUGGACGACAUAACGUGACAACGGAAUAUACACAGAAAACGGUGACCAUGAGUCAUGGUAUUGUGCACGAGUAGUCGACCUCAGCUGUAAGUCUAUAAAAUAUCACGAUUAUAACAUAAUAUAAUAUCAUAACAUUGAAUGUGUAAUAUUUUUAAAAAAUAGUUAUUUUUCCGACGACGAUAUUUUUCGG